GAACGGUAACAGGCCCGCAAGGGUGCUGACGAGUGGCGGACGGGUGAGGAAUACAUCGGAAUUUGCCCAGUCGUGGGGGAUAACGUAGGGAAACUUACGCUAAUACCGCAUACGACCUAACGGUGAAAGCGGGGGAUCGCAAGACCUCGCGCGGAUGGAUAAGCCGAUGUCGGAUUAGCUAGUUGGCGGGGUAAAGGCCCACCAAGGCGACGAUCCGUAGCUGGUCUGAGAGGAUGAUCAGCCACACUGGGACUGAGACACGGCCCAGACUCCUACGGGAGGCAGCAGUGGGGAAUAUUGGACAAUGGGGGCAACCCUGAUCCAGCAAUGCCGCGUGUGUGAAGAAGGCCUUCGGGUUGUAAAGCACUUUUAUCCGGAACGAAACGUGUCAGGUGAAUACCCUGGCAAACUGACGGUACCGGAGGAAUAAGCACCGGCUAACUUCGUG
rnacentral:rRNA from 1 species